AUACACAAGAAAAAUAAAUGAUAAAUGAAGGAAAUGCCUUUGUCUUAUUGUUAUGAGCCUCAUUUAAAGAGAGAUCAGUAAAUUUAUCCCUAUUUGUUCUGGAGUAAACAAUCAAGUUUCAAGAGAGAUCAGUAAAUUUAUCGACAAAUAUGAUGUCACUCUCGAUGUCUGCUCAUCAUCCGUUGGUUCACAAGCACAGGUUCUUAAUCAAUUGGUAGGCCUAGAUCUCCAGCUCUCCUAUACUUGUUUGUUUCUUUAUCUUUAGGAAACUCUUGUUUUCCUCUUCUUUUACUGUGUUAAUCAGUCUUGGCUCCAUCUAUAUCAAUCUUCAUUUACAGCAAGAUACAAAGAACAUAGAUGUCUGUGUAGAAGAUGAAACGGUUACUUACUUGAACCGGGAAGAUGUACAGAAAGCUUCCCAUGCGUGGCUUGUUGGAGUCACUGCAUGGAGUGUUUACAGCACUGUUCUCCAUUAUGAGAAGAAAAACCUAGAGAUACCAACAAUUCAUGUACUGGGUUCACUUGUCAAGUCUGGUAUUCGGGUCUUGGUUUUCAGUGGAGAUGAAGAUUCAGUUAUCCCAUUACUCGGAAUGUGUACACUGGUGAAUGAAUUGGCAAAGGAGUUGGAAUUGAAAACCACUGUUCCAUACAGAGUUUGGUUUGAAGGGAGACAAGUCACUGGAUGGACACAAGUAUAUGGUGAUAUACUAUCUUUUGCCACCAUUAAAGGAGCUGCGCAUGAAGCUCCAUUUUCACAACCAGAGAGAUUGCUUGUUCUUUUUAAUUCAUUUUUGGGUGGAAAUCCACCACCAGAGGCAGUACUGUCUGCUGAGAGCAUAUA